UGGGGAAUAUUGCGCAAUGGAGGAAACUCUGACGCAGCAACGCCGCGUGUGUGAAGAAGGUUUUCGGAUCGUAAAGCACUGUUGAGUGGGAAGAGACGGGAUUGGUUAAUACCCAGUCCCCCGACGGUACCACUCGAGGAAGCACCGGCUAACUCCGUGCCAGCAGCCGCGGCAAUACGGAGGGUGCAAGCGUUGUUCGGAAUUAUUGGGCGUAAAGAGCGCGUAGGCGGGCUCGUAAGUCUGAUGUGAAAUCCCUCGGCUCAACCGAGGACGUGCAUUGGAAACUGCGAGUCUUGAGUCCUGGAGAGGAAGGCGGAAUUCCCAGUGUAGAGGUGAAAUUCGUAGAUAUUGGGAGGAACACCAGCGGCGAAGGCGGCCUUCUGGACAGUGACUGACGCUGAGGCGCGAAAGCGUGGGUAGCAAACAGG
rnacentral:rRNA from 1 species